AUUGAACGCUGGCGGCAGGCCUAACACAUGCAAGUCGAACGAGUGGCGAACGGGUGAGAAAUAUCUGGGAAAAUGCCCGAUGAAGGGGGAUAACUACUGGAAACGGUAGCUAAUACCCAAUAACAUCGAAUGUGCCCAGAUGGGAUUGGCUAGUAGGUGGGGUAACGGCUCACCUAGCCUACGAUCCCUAGCUGGUCUUCGAGGAUGACCAACCACACUGGAACUGAGACACGUGCCAGACUCCGACGUGAGGCAGCAGUGGGGAAUAUUGCACAAUGGGCUCAAGCCUGAUGCAGCCAUGCCGCGUGUAUGAAGAAGGCCUUCGGGUUGUAAAGUACUUUCAGCGAGGAGGCGUUACUCUCAGAAGAAGCACCGGCUAACUCCGUGCCAGCAGCCGCGGUAAUAC
rnacentral:rRNA from 1 species